rnacentral:rRNA from 1 species
AUGGCUCCAAGCUGGAGGCAAAAACACUGCUUUUUUCCAUGCUUGUGCUUCAAAAAGAAAGAAGAAAAACACAAUUGGGAGACUAAAAAGGAAGAUGGAGCGUGGGUAGAGGGUGAAGAUCGCUUAAAAGAGCAUGUUGCAAGCUAUUUUUCUAAUCUGUCCACCUCUACAGUUGGGCCAAGAACUGAUGAAAUAUUGCAGACAGUUUCACCGAGGGUAAAUGCACAAAUGAAUAAAAGCCUUUGUGCUCAAUACACAGAGGAGGAAGUUAAGGAGGCUUUGUUCAAUAUUGGAGAUCUCACAGCACCUGGGCCUGAUGGUAUGUCUGCGGUUUUCUUCAAAAGGUUCUGGCAUCUAGUGGGAAACACAGUCACAGAGGAGAUCUUGAAAUUCCUUCGAGGAGGCCAGAUGCCAGAAGGAUGGAAUGAUACCAUGAUCGUCUUAAUCCCAAAAACAGCAAAUCCACAAAGCAUGAAGGACCUAAGACCGACCAGCCUCUGCAACGUCAUCUACAAGACAAAAAGAAGUGGUAAAACAGGAUACGCGGCGAUAAAGCUAGACAUGAGUAAAGCCUACGAUCGAGUUGAAUGGAAUUCAAGCUGGGAUUUGAAAGAGAAUGGGUCAACCUAG